rnacentral:rRNA from 1 species
UGGGGAAUUUUGGACAAUGGGCGAAAGCCUGAUCCAGCAAUGCCGCGUGUGUGAAGAAGGCCUUCGGGUUGUAAAGCACUUUUGUCCGGAAAGAAAUGGCUCUGGUUAAUACCUGGGGUCGAUGACGGUACCGGAAGAAUAAGGACCGGCUAACUACGUGCCAGCAGCCGCGGUAAUACGUAGGGUCCAAGCGUUAAUCGGAAUUACUGGGCGUAAAGCGUGCGCAGGCGGUUGUGCAAGACCGAUGUGAAAUCCCCGAGCUUAACUUGAGAAUUGCAUUGAAGACUGCACGGCUAGAGUGUAUCAGAGGGGGGUAGAAUUCAACGUGUAGCAGUGAAAUGCGUAGUGAGGUGGAGGAAUACCGAUGGCGAAGGCAGCCCCCUGGGAUAACACUGACGCUCAUGCACGAAAGCGUGGGGAGCAAACAGG